rnacentral:rRNA from 1 species
GGUAGCCGGCCUGAGAGGGNGACCGGCCACACUGGGACUGAGANACGGCCCAGACUCCUACGGGAGGCAGCAGUGGGGAAUAUUGGGCAAUGGAGGAAACUCUGACCCAGCGACGCCGCGUGCGGGAUGAAGGCCUUCGGGUUGUAAACCGCUUUCAGUAGGGAAGAAGCGAAAGUGACGGUACCUACAGAAGAAGCACCGGCUAACUAUGUGCCAGCAGCCGCGGUAAUACAUAGGGUGCAAGCGUUGUCCGGAAUUAUUGGGCGUAAAGAGCUCGUAGGUGGUUUGAUACGUCGGGUGUGAAAUUCNGGGGCUCAACCCCUGACCUGCAUUCGAUACGGNCAANCUGGAGUUUGGUAGGGGA